AAAGAACCGUCCUGGCUUUAAAAGUUUCUUCAGUAAGACUCCUGACUCAAAAGUAAAAUAAUCCUAACCGUCGCUUCUUUCCCAAUAUCUGCCGUAACAUUCGCUUCUUUUCCAAUUUAUGCCGUAACAGCCGCCCGCCUACAAACCCUACUUGACUUGCUCCUUUCAAGGUAAAUCUGUUUUGGCAUCUUCGCUUCUGUUUUACAAUACUUACUACUAUCUCUUAUCCUGGUGUUCCUCUCAAAUCUCCAGGUAAAUAUUUUCUUUAUGACUUUAGUAUAUUGUUAUUCUCUUUUAUGUUUAUUUGGUGUUUUAUGUUUCUUCCGAUUUCAAUCUCUGCGUUGUGCCUACAAGACGAAAGUAUCUCUGAUUAUAAUUCACUAUUCUCAAUUUUAAUAUUUGUCACUUCGUCUUUUUGUUAUUCCACUUCUGCAAUAUUUCACGCAACAAAUAACUUUGUACUAUUUGGUAUCUGGAACUUUACUAUUAUUCGCCAUGCUAUGCUUGAUUGUUGCUACUGUUUUUUACUUUUUAUUUCACAAAGAUUUGAUUUUCCUGGAGUUGCCAGAGCUUCGAGACAGUCCCUUGUCUUCCAGGUAUUGAAACGGCUAGAAUUUCUUUUAGUUUUCCCCCAAGCAAGAUUACACUUCUCUUAUUUGUUUCUGUUCGUGUUAUUCAAUUAUUUCUUCUUAUGUGUAUAUAAAUCUAGGAAUAGAAGACAAUGACUUAAUACCUCAUGGCCAAGAAUCAUAAUUAUCUUUUUUAUCCUUUUACUUGACGUUUUCCCUUUCUUCACGUGUUGCCUUUUUGUAGUUUUAUGUUCAUUUAUUAAUUUACUCUUAAUAAGUUUUUGAUUAAGACCCUAUGUUUAUUGAGAAGCAUAACGUUCUAGGUCCAAAAAAUUCAUAAGCCACCGUUUUGAGUCCUCUUCCUUGCAGGUUUCAUCUCUUCCAUCUAUAAAAGCAUGGAACUUUCCGUCUUCUUCCUCUUAUUUUGCACACUUCAUCAAUUUCUCUCCGUCAUGGUGGUUUUCUCAAUUUUUGAGGUUAAUUUUCAAUUUUUUGUUUUGAUAUUUGUUUGUAACGCCUGUUAGAGAGAUAAGGAAUGUGAAAUUUUUUCCCCUUCACACACUUAGAAUAUUAGAAUAUAAGAAUAUUAAAUCUGAAUCUAUUCGAGAUAUCAGAUAUGAGACUACAACUUGGUUUUCUAUUGAACUUUUCGUACAAAAUUAUUUUGUUCAAUCAAUUCCCGAAAAAAAAAAAGGAAAAAAAAUGCUAUAGCUUUUUUCGCUGAUUAGAGGUUGCUUUCUCAUUGAACUGCACAUGGAUUGUUUGCGUGAUAUGAAGCUUUGAAGGAUUAGAUGUUAGUGAAAAUUGUUUCUAUGAGAACAUACUUAUUGCUAUAACUACAAGCGCGCGGGCACAUACACAUAUAUAUACCGCAGGGGAAUUGUUUUUGUGGGAUUUUGAUCAUGUAUAAGUUCUGUAAGUUUCUGCAGCCUCUUCAACUCCUUUUACACUAUUUUUGGAUGCCUCAAAUUCUGAAUUUGUGAUUAAUAUUUUUGUGACUUGAUAAAAUCAUUUGCAAUUUCAUUACGUCUUGAGAAUUAAUAUAACUCUGCUAGCAAUUCCACUUAUAUGUCUUUGGUCGUCCUACAAUUUCUUGUGCAUACAGCCCGACAAAAUUGGUGCAUCUGCUUGGACAUUCUUAUGGCAUUGCAGUUUUUGGAUGCACGGGUGAUUUGUAGCUAAUUACGAAGUCAUCUAAUUUGCGUUGAUUCAUGUUGCAGUGGGAUAAUGGUCUAGAGGAGGUCUGGGUUGAGCAUGUGGAGGAAGUGAUGUUUUUGGAACUUUUGAUGUUACCGGUUAAUUCUGGACAGGAAAAUCAAAUAAAAGAUAUAGAUGAACAAGUAUCUCCUAAUGAAUUCAAUCGUAGACUUCUAAGUUUGCACCCUUUAAUAUAUGUAAUAUAUAUAUAUAUAAAUAUAGUAUUAUAUUCUAACUA